rnacentral:misc_RNA from 1 species
GAUGAAGAACGCAGCGAAAUGCGAUAAGUAGUGUGAAUUGCAGAAUUCAGUGAAUCAUCGAAUCUUUGAACGCACAUUGCGCCCUUUGGUAUUCCAAAGGGCAUGCCUGUUCGAGCGUCAUUUGUACCCUCAAGCUUUGCUUGGUGUUGGGCGUCUUGUCUCUAGCUUUGCUGGAGACUCGUCUUAAAGUAAUUGGCAGCCGGCCUACUGGUUUCGGAGCGCAGCACAAGUCGCACUCUCUAUCAGCAAAGGUCUAGCAUCCAUUAAGCCUUUUUUUCAACUUUUGACCUCGGAUCAGGUAGGGAUACCCGCUGAACUUAAGCAUAUCAAUAAGCGGAGGA